rnacentral:tRNA from 1 species
AAGGUCUUAGCUUAAUUAAAGUGUUUGAGUUGCAUUCAAUCGAUAUAGGAUAAAACCCUAUAGGUCUUA